rnacentral:rRNA from 1 species
GACGAACGCUGGCGGCGUGCCUAACACAUGCAAGUGGAGCGACGAACCAGGCUUCGGCCUGGGGCAAAGCCGCGAACGGGUGAGUAACACGUGGGUAACCUGCCCUGAUGAUUGGGACAACCCGAGGAAACUCGGGCUAAUACCAAAUGUGCCCUUCGGCCACAAGGCCGCUGGGGAAAGGAAGCUUCGGCCUCCGCAUCUGGAUGGGCCCGCGGCCCAUUAGCUUGUUGGUGAGGUAACGGCNCACCAAGGCGACGAUGGGUAGCUGGUCUGAGAGGACGAUCAGCCACACUGGGACUGAGACACGGCCCAGACUCCUACGGGAGGCAGCAGUGGGGAAUCUUGCGCAAUGCGCGAAAGCGUGACGCAGCAACGCCGCGUGGGGAAGGACGCC